ACCAGACUCCUACGGGAGGCAGCAGUGGGGAAUAUUGCACAAUGGGGGAAACCCUGAUGCAGCGACGCCGCGUGAAGGACGAAGUAUUUCGGUACGUAAACUUCUAUCAGCAGGGAAGAAAAUGACGGUACCUGACCAAGAAGCCCCGGCUAACUACGUGCCAGCAGCCGCGGUAAUACGUAGGGGGCAAGCGUUAUCCGGAUUUACUGGGUGUAAAGGGAGCGUAGACGGUGAUGCAAGUCAGAAGUGAAAGCCCGGGGCUCAACUCCGGGACUGCUUUUGAAACUGUGUAACUGGAGUGCAGGAGAGGUAAGCGGAAUUCCUGGUGUAGCGGUGAAAUGCGUAGAUAUCAGGAGGAACACCAGUGGCGAAGGCGGCUUACUGGACUGUAACUGACGUUGAGGCUCGAAAGCGUGGGGAGCAAACAGGAUUAGAUACCCGAGUAGA
rnacentral:rRNA from 1 species